rnacentral:rRNA from 1 species
UGGGGAAUAUUGGACAAUGGGCGAAAGCCUGAUCCAGCCAUGCCGCGUGUGUGAAGAAGGCCUUCGGAUUGUAAAGCACUUUAAGUUGGGAGGAAGGGCAGUAAGCGAAUACCUUGCUGUUUUGACGUUACCGACAGAAUAAGCACCGGCUAACUCUGUGCCAGCAGCCGCGGUAAUACAGAGGGUGCAAGCGUUAAUCGGAAUUACUGGGCGUAAAGCGCGCGUAGGUGGUUCGUUAAGUUGAAUGUGAAAGCCCCGGGCUCAACCUGGGAACUGCAUCCAAAACUGGCGAGCUAGGGUAGGGCAGAGGGUGGUGGAAUUUCCUGUGUAGCGGUGAAAUGCGUAGAUAUAGGAAGGAACACCAGUGGCGAAGGCGACCACCUGGGCUCAUACUGACACUGAGGUGCGAAAGCGUGGGGGGCAAACAGG